AUUGAACGCUGGCGGCAUGCCUUACACAUGCAAGUCGAACGGCAGCACGGGAGCAAUCCUGGUGGCGAGUGGCGAACGGGUGAGUAAUAUAUCGGAACGUGCCCAGUCGUGGGGGAUAACGCAGCGAAAGCUGUGCUAAUACCGCAUACGAUCUAAGGAUGAAAGCGGGGGAUCGCAAGACCUCGCGCGAUUGGAGCGGCCGAUAUCAGAUUAGCUAGUUGGUGGGGUAAAGGCCCACCAAGGCGACGAUCUGUAGCUGGUCUGAGAGGACGACCAGCCACACUGGAACUGAGACACGGGCCAGACUCGUACGGGAGGCAGCAGUGGGGAAUUUUGGACAAUGGGCGCAAGCCUGAUCCAGCAAUGCCGCGUGCAGGAUGAAGGCCUUCGGGUUGUAAACUGCUUUUGUACGGAACGAAACGGCCCUUUCUAAUACAGGGGGCUAAUGACGGUACCGUAAGAAUAAGCACCGGCUAACUACGUGCCAGCCGCCGCAGUAAAAC
rnacentral:rRNA from 1 species